GCUUAUGGACCUGUGAUGGGAAUGCCGGGAGGGUGAGGGAUAGAACCUUCAAGACCAUUGACAGACAGUUCCGUUUGCACCCCGCCAGGCCAGAGCCAGGACAACGACCUAGGGUGGGCAUCAGCUGCUGGAUUUCUCCCCAGCCCACUCUGGACCACAAACAGCCUACGCACCAAGCCGGCACCAGCCUACCCACCCUGUUGGGACCGGAACAAGCCAGGCCAGAGCCUCGGAUGGGACCCGGGGCCUGGGUCCCACCUUCCCAAGGCACCUAUUUCCUGCGUUUCCUCCCCAACCCCCCGUUCCCGGGUGAAGGCCUCCGCCAGGUCCGUCUCCCAGGGGGCCCAGCUCAGGGACAUCGUGACACUGCCCCGGUGAUGCUCAAGAACCCCGGCGCUUGCAAAGCACCCGCAGUCGCGCGCUCACCUCUCUGCAGAUCCUCCUGACAUCGGCAAAGCUAUCUGGGGAAUUCUGGCAGGCGGAACUCCCUGUUUC
rnacentral:lncRNA from 1 species